UUUACUUCAGCAAGAUCCUCAUAAUGGACGACCGACGAUUCAACGUGUUUUGAUCGUUACACCGUCAAGUUUGGUCAAAAAUUGAGAAAAAGAAUAUCGUCGUUGGUUAGGUCGAGAGCGGAUAACUAUUUUUACUGAUGAUCAGCAAAAUCGACCUAUAGAGUUUUUGAAAUAUCUUGUAUCCCCCGUCAUGGUGGUGUCGUAUGAAAUGCUAGUCCGCUGCUUUGAUGAAAUACAGCAAAUUAAUUUUGAUCUGGUUGUUUGCGACGAAGGACAUCGAUUAAAGAAUGCGGGCAAUAAAACAUCAUCGCUGCUCUCACAACUAGAUACUAACAGGAAAGUCCUGUUGACUGAAACCCCUGUUCAAAAUGAUUUGAAAGAAUUUUUCUCCUUGGCUGACUUUGUCAAUCCAGGCAUUUUAGGAAGCUUAUCUUGUAAUUAAUCUUUUUAAAACUAGUCGGGUUGGAAACACACCAUUAUUUCCAUGAUUCUUUUAACAGCAUCGUCGUUCUAGUAGAACGAUGACGCAUUUAAAAAAGGAGCCUAUGUGAAAGCAAAGUAAAUCACGAAAGAUUAUAUUUCCGCUUGCUUGUUGCCUGGAUUAAAAAUGGAUCUUCCACCGCCAACGAAAGCGCCUGGAACAACAUCACAACAACUACAGCCAACAAUCCGUUCGCCGGUUUAUUCGACACGGACAAUAUGGACGACUUGGGCUGGUUAUUGCCACCUAAUUUCAAACAUAACUUAUUCACGGUCAAUCCCUCAGCAACGUCAACUAUAACGAAGAAAAAUGUCAUCCUCUUAUUCGAUGACGUCAUUUUAACCAGAACAAGGUGGCGAAGAAGGCACAAACAUU